GCCGGGGUGGCGAAACUGGCUAGACGCGAGGGACUUAAAAUCCCUUGGGGGCAACCCCAUCUGGGUUCGAUUCCCAGCCCCGGCA
rnacentral:tRNA from 1 species